UUAAGUUCUCAAAGAUAAUAUAUAGUUAAUAGUAUUUUUCUAAUAUUAUAAAAUUGUAUUUAAUUCAUUAUAUGUGUUUUUUGAGAAGUAAAGUCUGUUUUGUGCAUUUCCUAAAUUAAUUAUUUUCAUUUGGCAUACCUGCGUCAUGACGUCAUCGCACAAUAAGUUGGUGCGCGCCUGUGAUGUGCUUCAUUCGUUGCAAAUGAAGAGACGAGAAGCCAUCACAGCAGACUCUAUCUUCUUUCAUUUUACUUCUUUCCAGGAAUCUUAAUCUUGUAAAAGAAUGAGACAUUUGAGUGUCACUUGGUGGAUUCUGAUGAUGAGGAAUGUUGUUGUUCAUGUUUAUACCCAGUCAUUGUUGUACAAAUGUACAAGUCAUAUAUGUGCUGACCACUGUAAUGUGACAAACUUUUGUUAUAUGCAUUAUUGAUUCAUUCGUUGCAAAUGAAGAGACGAGAAGCCAUCACA